rnacentral:ncRNA from 1 species
CACAGGUUUGGUCCCAGCCUUCCCGUUAACCCUCAAUAAACUUACACAUGCAAGCAUCCACACCCCGGUGAAAAUACCCUCUAGGUCAAUAAGACCAAGAGGAGUGGGUAUCAAGCACACACUUGUAGCUCAUGACGCCUUGCUAAACCACACCCCCACGGGAGACAGCAGUGACAAAAAUUAAGCUAUGAACGAAAGUUUGACUAAGUUAUAUUGAUUAGGGUUGGUAAAUCUCGUGCCAGCCACCGCGGUCAUACGAUUAACCCAAGCUAACAGGAAAACGGCGUAAAACGUGUUUAAGCGCUAUAACAAAUAGAGUUAAAUUUUAAUUAAACUGUAAAAAGCCAUAAUUAUAAUAAAAAUAAACUACGAAAGUGACUCUAAAAAAGCUGACACACUAUAGCUAAGACCCAAACUGGGAUUAGAUACCCCACUAUGCUUAGCCCUAAACAUAAAUGAUUACUAAAACAAGAUUAUUCGCCAGAGUACUACAGGCAACAGCCUAAAACUCAAAGGACUUGGCGGUGCUUUAUACCCUUCUAGAGGAGCCUGUUCUAUAAUCGAUAAACCCCGAUAAACCUCACCAGUCCUUGCUAAUACAGUCUAUAUACCGCCAUCUUCAGCAAACCCUAAAAAGGAAUAAAAGUAAGCAUAAUUAUUAAUACAUAAAAACGUUAGGUCAAGGUGUAACCUAUGGACUGGGAAGAAAUGGGCUACAUUUUCUACCCUAAGAAUAUCAACACGAAAGUCAUUAUGAAAUUAAUGACCAAAGGAGGAUUUAGUAGUAAACUAAGAAUAGAGUGCUUAGUUGAAUUAGGCCAUGAAGCACGCACACACCGCCCGUCACCCUCCUCAAAUAAUCAAAACGCACUAAAGCCUACUUACACACGUUAAUAAUAUGAGAGGAGACAAGUCGUAACAAGGUAAGCAUACUGGAAAGUGUGCUUGGACAAAU